CCAUGAUAAAGAAGGAAAUAGCUCAUAUGUAUCUACAUGAAUAUCAUUUUGAUUUUAAAGUUGAACUCUUGAAAAUUGCAAAUUGUUUUUCUCCAAACAGUCUUAACUAAUCGUGUAAUCAUGUUGGAGGCUCAGUGACGUGUCUAUUGGGAGCUCGUCGUUGAAUUUUAUUGAGAAUAUAACAUCUUUAACCAACUUGUAAGACCAUAUGAUCUCAUCAUAUGCAAUAAUACUAAUCUAGUCCUAAGAAACAAUAUGCUUUCUGGUACUAUUCCAUCCACCAUUGGAAAACACCUAUUAUUGAUGCAGAUGUGAGUUUUUCAAGUUAUGUUUGGUUCAAAUUACAAUUUCUCAUGUUUACUGAGUUCAUCCAUUUGCAGUCUAUGGACUGCAGUGGACCCCACUGCCUUUAAUGUUUCUGGAAAAGGGUCUUUAGUAAUAUCAUGAUUCCUGUUGGGUUUCUGGAAUACGGGUUUUAAUGUUGAUAUGGUGGAGUACAAGAAUAUCAACUUCACUAUUUAGGAUGUCAGGGGUCAGGACAAGAUCAGACCGUUAUGGAGGCACUAUUUCCAAAACACACAGGGACUCAUUUUUGUUGUUGACAGCAAUGACAGAGACCGUGUAGUUAAGGCAAGAGAUGAACUCCCAGGAUGCUGAAUGAGUUAAAUUUUCUUCAAAAAAGAAGUCAUGUGCAGUAAGCUUUCGGAUCAAAGCGAAGUUGAGAAUAGGGUGUUACUUGAUAACAAAUUGAUAACCAGUAGAGGCACAUCAAUGGAGUUCUUGCUUGCGAUUGUUGAGAAGCUAUUUGGCUGCGAGAAGGCAUUGGAUCUUGCUGUCAAUGAGAACUUUAUAAAAUAGAGAUAUAACUAUUAUGUUGGCAUUGUACUUUUGU